rnacentral:rRNA from 1 species
GAGUUUGAUCCUGGCUCAGGACGAACGCUGGCGGCGUGCCUAAUACAUGCAAGUCGAGCGAGCGGAACUAACAGAUUUACUUCGGUAAUGACGUUAGGAAAGCGAGCGGCGGAUGGGUGAGUAACACGUGGGGAACCUGCCCCAUAGUCUGGGAUACCACUUGGAAACAGGUGCUAAUACCGGAUAAGAAAGCAGAUCGCAUGAUCAGCUUUUAAAAGGCGGCGUAAGCUGUCGCUAUGGGAUGGCCCCGCGGUGCAUUAGCUAGUUGGUAAGGUAAAGGCUUACCAAGGCGAUGAUGCAUAGCCGAGUUGAGAGACUGAUCGGCCACAUUGGGACUGAGACACGGCCCAAACUCCUACGGGAGGCAGCAGUAGGGAAUCUUCCACAAUGGACGCAAGUCUGAUGGAGCAACGCCGCGUGAGUGAAGAAGGUUUUCGGAUCGUAAAGCUCUGUUGUUGGUGAAGAAGGAUAGAGGUAGUAACUGGCCUUUAUUUGACGGUAAUCAACCAGAAAGUCACGGCUAACUACGUGCCAGCAGCCGCGGUAAUACGUAGGUGGCAAGCGUUGUCCGGAUUUAUUGGGCGUAAAGCGAGCGCAGGCGGAAGAAUAAGUCUGAUGUGAAAGCCCUCGGCUUAACCGAGGAAGUGCAUCGGAAACUGUUUUUCUUGAGUGCAGAAGAGGAGAGUGGAACUCCAUGUGUAGCGGUGAAAUGCGUAGA